rnacentral:rRNA from 1 species
CUUUCAACAAUGGAUCUCUUGGCUCUCGCAUCGAUGAAAAACGCACCGAAAUGCGAUAAGUAAUAUGAAUUGCAGAAUUCCGUGAAUCAUCAAAUCUUUGAACGCAAAUUGCACUUCUUGGUAUUCCGAGGAGUACACAUGCUUGAGGGUCAGUU